rnacentral:rRNA from 1 species
AUUGAACGCUGGCGGCAGGCCUAACACAUGCAAGUCGAGCGGGGUUUUCGGACCUAGCGGCGGACGGGUGAGUAAUGCGUAGGAAGCUGCCCGAUAGAGGGGGAUACCAGUUGGAAACGACUGUUAAUACCGCAUAAUGUCUACGGACCAAAGUGUGGGACCUUCGGGCCACAUGCUAUCGGAUGCGCCUACGUGGGAUUAGCCAGUUGGUGAGGUAAUGGCUCACCAAGGCGACGAUCUCUAGCUGGUUUGAGAGGAUGAUCAGCCACACUGGAACUGAGACACGGUCCAGACUCCUACGGGAGGCAGCAGUGGGGAAUAUUGGACAAUGGGCGCAAGCCUGAUCCAGCCAUGCCGCGUGUGUGAAGAAGGCCUUCGGGUUGUAAAGCACUUUCAGCGAGGAGGAAGGGAUGUAUGUUAAUAGCAUGCAUUUUUGGCGUUACUCGCAGAAGAAGCACCAGCUAACUCUGUGCCAGCCGCCGCAGUAAUAC